rnacentral:rRNA from 1 species
AGCGAACGCUGGCGGCAGGCUUAACACAUGCAAGUCGAGCGCCCCGCAAGGGGAGCGGCAGACGGGUGAGUAACGCGUGGGAACGUACCCUUUGCUACGGAAUAGCUCCGGGAAACUGGAAUUAAUACCGUAUGUGCCCUACGGGGGAAAGAUUUAUCGGCAAAGGAUCGGCUCGCGUUGGAUUAGCUAGUUGGUGGGGUAAUGGCCUACCAAGGCGACGAUCCAUAGCUGGUCUGAGAGGAUGAUCAGCCACAUUGGGACUGAGACACGGCCCAAACUCCUACGGGAGGCAGCAGUGGGGAAUAUUGGACAAUGGGCGCAAGCCUGAUCCAGCCAUGCCGCGUGAGUGAUGAAGGCCUUAGGGUUGUAAAGCUCUUUCACCGGAGAAGAUAAUGACGGUAUCCGGAGAAGAAGCCCCGGCUAACUUCGUGCCAGCCGCCGCGGUAAGAC